AAACCGCCCCUAAAUUUUGCAAUUGUAGUAGUUUUGGCCUCCCAAGCCAAAAAAAAAAUAAAAAAAAAACAUGUGGCACCUCACUUAGGGUGCCAUGUCAGCGUAGACCGAGUCAAAAUUAGCUUUGGGGGCAAAAAUUGCCACAAGUGCAAAACUUAGCGGGCGGUUU
rnacentral:pre_miRNA from 1 species